GAUGAACGCUAGCUACAGGCUUAACACAUGCAAGUCGAGGGGUCUCGAGGGGGCUUGCUCCCCAAGAGACGACCGGCGCACGGGUGAGUAACGCGUAUCCAACCUGCCCGUUACUCCGGGAUAGCCUUCCGAAAGGGAGAUUAAUACCCGGGAUGGUGUUUGAAGUCCGCAUGAAAUUCAAACUAAAGAUUUAUCGGUAACGGAUGGGGAUGCGUACCAUUAGAUAGUAGGCGGGGUAACGGCCCACCUAGUCGACGAUGGUUAGGGGUUCUGAGAGGAAGGUCCCCCCANACUGGAGCUGAGACACGGUCCAGACUCCUACGGGAGGCAGCAGUGAGGAAUAUUGGGUCCAAAUCGGGGCGAGAGCCUGAACCAGCCAAGU
rnacentral:rRNA from 1 species